GACGAACGCUGGCGGCGUGGAUUAGGCAUGCAAGUCGAACGGUAUCAUCCUUUCGGGGGUGAGAGAGUGGCGAACUGGUGAGUAACACGUAGGUUAUCUACCCUCAAGACGGGGACAACCCAGGGAAACUUGGGCUAAUACCGGAUGUGAGCAACUUUUAGUUGUUUGAAAGGUGGCGUAAGCUGUCGCUUGGGGAUGAGCCUGCGUCCUAUUAGUUAGUUGGUGAGGUAACGGCUCACCUAGGCAAUGAUAGGUAGGCGGCCUUAACGGGUGGUCGCCCACACUGGGAUUGAGAUACGGCCCAGACUCCUACGGGAGGCAGCAGUCGAGAAUAGUCUACAAUGGUCGGAAGACUGAUAGUGCGACGCCGCGUGAACGAUGAAUCCCUUCGGGGUGUAAAGUUCUUUUAUAUGUGAGCAGUGCUUCUUAUAUUAACAGUAUGGGGAGAGAGAUAUUAGCAUAUGAAUAAGCAACGGCUAAACUCCGUGCCCAGCAGCCGCGGUAAAAUAC
rnacentral:rRNA from 1 species